rnacentral:rRNA from 1 species
AACGAACGCUGGCGGCAUGCCUAACACAUGCAAGUCGAACGGGAUCCUAGCUUGCUAGGUGAGAGUGGCGGACGGGUGAGUAACACGUGGGAAUCUGCCUUUUGGUUCGGGAUAACCGCGGGAAACUGCGGCUAAUACCGAAUGCCCUCGAGAGAGGAAAGAUUUAUCGCCAGAAGAGGAGCCCGCGUCCGGUUAGGUAGUUGGUGGGGUAAAGGCCUACCAAGCCGACGAUCGGUAGCUGGUCUGAGAGGAUGAUCAGCCACACUGGGACUGAGAUACGGCCCAGACUCCUACGGGAGGCAGCAGUGGGGAAUAUUGGACAAUGGGGGCAACCCUGAUCCAGCAAUGCCGCGUGAGUGAUGAAGGCCUUAGGUGUAAAGCUCUUUGCCAGGGAAGAUGAUGACUGUACCUGGAGAAUAAGCCCCGGCUAACUUCGUGCCAGCAGCCGCGGUAAU